rnacentral:rRNA from 1 species
UGGGGAAUUUUGCACAAUGGGGGAAACCCUGAUGCAGCGACGCCGCGUGAUUUAGAAGGCCUUCGGGUUGUAAAAAUCUUUUCUAUGGGAAGAAAAUGACAGUACCAUAGGAAUAAGGACCGGCUAAUUACGUGCCAGCAGCCGCGGUAAUACGUAAGGUCCGAGCGUUGUCCGGAAUCAUUGGGCGUAAAGGGUACGUAGGCGGCCCAGUAAGUUAGAAGUGAAAUAAUAUAGCUCAACUAUAUAAAGCUUUUAAAACUGCUAGGCUUGAGAGAUGGAAGGGAAAGUGGAAUUCCUAGUGUAGCGGUGAAAUGCGCAGAUAUUAGGAAGAAUACCGGUGGCGUAGGCGACUUUCUGGUCAUCAUCUGACGCUGAGGUACGAAAGCGUGGGUAGCAAACAGG